rnacentral:rRNA from 1 species
UGCGUAGGCGGUCCGGUAAGUUGGGUGUGAAAUACCUCGGCUCAACCGAGGGAUUGCGCUCAAUACUGUCGGACUCGAGGGAGACAGAGGUGAGCGGAACUUAGGGUGGAGCGGUGAAAUGCGUUGAUAUCCUAAGGAACACCGGUAGCGAAAGCGGCUCACUGGGUCUUUUCUGACGCUGAUGCACGAAAGCUAGGGGAGCGAACGG